UCUUUCAAAAAAAAUAAAUAAAUAAAAAAUAAGACAGGUCACCGAUCAUGCGCAGAAUGCUGUUUCAUUUGCGCGGGCUUCCAAUCCCAGGAUCAACUCAGAUGGAUAAUGAAGGAGAAAUAAAAAGCAAAGCUACGAUGGAUAAUAAAGGACAAAACUGUCAUACAGGACAUGGCAUCAGAGGUGAAGGAUAUUCUGGCACUACAAGACCCAAACCUGGUGAUCAGCAAAGUUUUCAAACUGUGUAUUAUACAGGGUGACUUGGCCACAAUGAAGGAGGGUUGCUGGCUUAAUGACAAGGUUAUCAACUUCUAUUUGUCCUUGCUAAUGAAGAGAAACAGUGAUCAGCUGGGAGCCUUAAAGUCGUAGAGCCACUUUUUUCUACCCAAAGCUUCAGAGUGGUGAAGGCCAUGCAGCAGUGAAGAACUGGACAAAAACUCAGGACCUCUUCCUCUUGGAUCUUGUUUUUGUUCCUUUGCACCUAGGCAUGCACUGGGAUUUGGCUGUAAGUCAUAUAUAAGUUGGAAUCCAUUGUUUUAAUAAUUAUGUUUUUGAAAAGUGUAAAACAAUAUUUUUGAUUUUCAGUUUGUCUUUAACUUGCCUACAGUAUAUUGCUUCUAACCACCAGGUAAUUGGUGGUUAGAAGACCAUACAGUGCUAUGACUCAAUGACUCAGAGACAUGAUGAUAUCUGUCAUGUUGUUGUGAGUGUCUUCUUAUUUUUGCUGUUAUAUUAACCUUUGUUCUAGGUUUAUGUUCUGUAAAGCUGCUUUGAGACAAUGUCAAUUGUAAAAAGUGCUAUACAAAUAAACUUGAAUUGAAUUGAACUGUUAUUCUGUGGCUUGAUCAUUCAUCUUUGCAUAUCCAGAUAUCCAGAUGUUUUAUUUAACAGAAAGUACCUCACAAAGGAGCACAGGGUCAA